GCCUCGGUGGUGUAGUGGUAGCACGCGCCCUUGUUAUGGGUGAAACGGGGGUUCAACUUUCGUCUGAGGUC